CAUGAUUUAACCUAAUAAUUGGCCAGAGGAUAUAUAAUUAUCCAAUCCCAAGCUUGGUUUGCUCUUAUACUCGCUAUCGAACAUAUUUCAAGUCCAAUAAUCCUUUUGUGAUCUCUACAAGCAAAAACAGUCAGCUACAACUUUAAUGAUAUUUUUCUUCUUUCAUCGCUUGAUUCAUAAUCAGCUACAAAUACCAUGGAGCUUUAGCAUAAAUUAUGUUUAAAAGAACAAAACAUUUAGCCUCAACAGCAGGCCAGAGUUGCUAUGAAUUUAGAAUAUUAGGCUACUUUUAAACUCUCAGAAUCAUGGACUGCUCAUCGUAUCAACUUAUCGAGCUUUUGCAUAUAUUUAUAACACUUUCAACUUCCUGAGCGAUUAAAUUUGACUCUAUUAUAGCAAAGUCUUGUUGCAUUUGACUUCCAUCUAUAGUGUAUCUUGCGUUAUUAAUACGUUUGCUUUGACUCUUGAUUUGCAGAUUACUACAGCAACAACCACUUUCAUUGUUCUUGGUUUGCAGAUUAUAUUUAUAACUUUUGUCUUUCUUAUUGACUCUAUGUGAGCCAUGUAUAAUUGUUUCUCUAAGCUGCUGUUGGGAAAUAAAAAUGUCUUUCUUAUUGUUUCUUAUUGCAGCUGUUGUACCCAAAAAAAAAAAAAAAAGCAGCCCAGAACUUUAUUUACUGCUAGACAGCAUUUUGCCUGUCCAUAGAGGGGAUUGUGGUCCGGAGAUUCUUGAUAUUAUCUUGAACAAGGAUGAUCCUGAUGGUGAUUCAGACAUGAACAACCAAGCAGGCUUCUUCUGUGGCUCGCCGCCUGUGCGCACUAACAACCCAGUAGUCCAAGAUGCGAAGUUCGCUAAACAAACUCGAGAGUUGGCUUCUCAUUUAGGAAACUUGAUACAUAUUGUAGGUUGUGUACUUAGGAAUUUGCCUUGUAUGUUUUUAGAAUGUUUUUGAAGCACAAUGUAAUCAAAUAUGAUAAUAUGAAUGUAAUCAAAGUUCUUGUUUGUGACUCAUAUUUUGUUA